UGUAGGUGCGGCGCUGGUGUC
rnacentral:siRNA from 1 species